UACGUAGGGCGCAAGCGUUGUCCGGAAUUAUUGGGCGUAAAGAGCUCGUAGGCGGCUUGUCACGUCGGGUGUGAAAGCUCGGGGCUUAACCCCGGGUCUGCAUUCGAUACGGGCUGGCUGGAGUGUGGUAGGGGAGAUCGGAAUUCCUGGUGUAGCGGUGAAAUGCGCAGAUAUCAGGAGGAACACCGGUGGAGAAGGCGGAUAUCUGGGCCAUUACUGACGCUGAGGAGCGAAAGCGUGGGGAGCGAACAGG
rnacentral:rRNA from 1 species